rnacentral:rRNA from 1 species
CAAACCAAGCUGGCGACCGGCGCACGGGUGAGUAACACGUAUCCAACCUGCCUCAUACUCGGGGAUGGCCUUUCGAAAGAAAGAUUAAUAUCCGAUAGCAUAUAUUUCCCGCAUGGGUUUUAUAUUAAAGAAAUUCGGUAUGAGAUGGGGAUGCGUUCCAUUAGUUUGUUGGGGGGGUAACGGCCCACCAAGACUACGAUGGAUAGGGGUUCUGAGAGGAAGGUCCCCCACAUUGGAACUGAGACACGGUCCAA